rnacentral:rRNA from 1 species
CUACGGGUGGCUGCAGUCGCGAAUUUUUUGCAAUGCACGAAAGUGUGACAAAACGAGCCAAAGUGCUUAUUCUUUUUGAGUAAGCUUUUCUUUACUGUAAAAAUGUAGAGGAAUAAGGACUGGGAGAGACCGGUGCCAGCCGCCGCGGUAAUACCGGCAGUCCAAGUAGCAUCCAUUUUUAUUGGGUCUAAAACAUCCGUAGCUUGUUUUUUAAGUCUCUUGUGAAAUCUCACGUCUCAAGCGUGAGGCUUGCGGGAGAUACUGAAAAGCUAGAGAUCGGUAGACGUAAAGAGUACGCCGGAGGUAAUGGUAAAAUAUGUUAAUCUUCGGUGGACUAACAAUCAGCGAAGGCACUUUACGAGGACGAAUCUGACAGUGAGGGAUGAAGGCCAGGGGCGCAAAACGGAUUAGAUACCCUUGUAGUC